rnacentral:rRNA from 1 species
UACGUAGGUGGCAAGCGUUGUCCGGAAUUAUUGGGCGUAAAGCGCGCGCAGGCGGUUAUGUAAGUCUGGUGUUAAAGCCCGGGGCUCAACCUCGGUUCGCAUUGGAAACUGCGUAACUUGAGUGCAGAAGAGGAAAGUGGUAUUCCACGUGUAGCGGUGAAAUGCGUAGAUAUGUGGAGGAACACCAGUGGCGAAGGCGACUUUCUGGUCUGUAACUGACGCUGGGGCGCGAAAGCGUGGGGAGCAAACAGG